GUUCGAUUCCGGAGAGGGAGCCUGAGAAACGGCUACCACAUCUAAGGAAGGCAGCAGGCGCGCAAAUUACCCAAUCCUAAUACAGGGAGGUAGUGACAAGAAAUAACAAUACAGGACUUUAACAGUUUUGUAAUUGGAAUGAGUUGAGUAUAAACCCCUUUACAAGUAUCAAUUGGAGGGCAAGUCUGGUGCCAGCAGCCGCGGUAAUUCCAGCUCCAAUAGCGUAUAUUAAAGUUGUUGCAGUUAAAAAGCUCGUAGUUGGAUUUCUGUUAAUAAUUUAUAUAUAAUAUUUAACAUAUUUAUAUAAUAUUAACAUAAUUCAUAUUACUAUUUAUAGUAUAUGAAACUUUACUUUGAGAAAAUUAGAGUGCUUAAAGCAGGCUUU
rnacentral:rRNA from 1 species